rnacentral:rRNA from 1 species
GAUGAACGCUGGCGGCGUGCCUAAUACAUGCAAGUCGAACGGGAGUUCCAUUUCGGUGGAAUGAGAGUGGCGGACGGGUGAGGAACACAUGGCUGACCUGCCCUUCAGCGGGGGACAACGGGUGGAAACGCCCGCUAAUACCGCGUACGUUCGUGGGGAUUAGAAGCUCACGAGGAAAGCCGAAAGGCACUGAAGGAGGGGGCUGUGGCCCAUCAGGUAGUUGGUGCGGUAACGGCGCACCAAGCCGACGACGGGUAGGGGGCCUGAGAGGGUGACCCCCCAUACUGGAACUGAGAAACGGUCCAGACUCCUACGGGAGGCAGCAGUAAGGGAUAUUGCGACAAUGGACGAAAGUCUGACGCAGCAACGCCGCGUGGAGGAUGACGGCCUUCGGGUUGUAAACUCCUUUUGCCGGGGACGAGGAAGGACGGUACCCGGAGAAGAAGUCACGGCUAACUACGUGCCAGCAGCCACGGUAAAACGUAGGUGGCGAGCGUUAU